rnacentral:rRNA from 1 species
UACAGAGGUCUCGAGCGUUAGGCGGAAUCACUGGGCUUAAAGCGUGUGUAGGUGGAUCGUUAAGUACCUUGUGAAAUCCCACGGCUUAACCGUGGAACUGCUUGGUAUACUGGUUGUCUUGAGCCAGCUAGGGGCGAGCGGAACAGACGGUGGAGCGGUGAAAUGCGUAGAUAUCGUCUGGAACGCCGAAGGUGAAAACAGCUCGCUGGGGCUGCGCUGACGCUGAGACACGAAAGCCAGGGGAGCGAACGGG